rnacentral:misc_RNA from 1 species
GAUCAAAAACGGCACCUCAAUGGCCCUGGAAACGAAUGGUAGCAACGUCGUGUGGUUAAGCUCAUCAGCGCCUGAUCAGAUACAGCAGCAUCUAAUAAAAAAGGACCCGCUCCUGGUCGAAUCAGCCGAAGAGCAACGUCAUCUGCACCAACAGGAACACAGGUAUCAACGAAGUCUGAUUAAAAUUCCAAAUCAUCAAACUCAACAAAUAGGACAACCAGUCAAGUGUUCUAUGUUUACGCAGACCGAACAAACUAAUAGCUUCACACAAACAGAGCAGAGCGGUUCCAGCUACAACGAUCAGCGACAGCAAGCCACGAUGUUUGACCCUCAACAAAUUCAACAACAGCAAGCUCCACAAGGUCAGCAGUCUCAGCAGCAGCAACAAUCACAGCAAAUGUACGUGACAGGGGCAGAGAAAAAAGAAGAUAAGCCAUCAGCUACAUCAGAGUUCCCAUUUUAUUAUAACGUGAAUAUGCUGCAGAAAGUUCAAACAAAUGCAGUUAGCACUAUCGGUGCGAUCACAACUGAUGACAAGGGGUGUUAUCGGUUUGACGUCCAGCCUGUUGGUUAUAAUACAUUAUUGAAUCAAAUGAGUAUAGCGGCAGCAACGAACGCUACGUUCAAAUGUGACAUUUGUGGUCUAGUUUUUGGACAUAUGAGUUUACUGAAUCAUCACAAAAGAAUCCACAACACAACUCCGAGCAACCUCCAACAACAACCACAGCAAGUUGUUCAGACACCAACAACAGUUACUGUGGCUAGUACACAGGAUCGGCCUUACACGUGUGACGUAUGCGGAGCCUGUUUUGCCCUUCCUGGAGAAUUAAAGAGCCACAAAACAAAUAUGCAUCAAAAACCGAAGGUGCAAAUUUGUGAAGAUUGCGGUAGUGAUGAGCCUUGUGAACACCAUCCUACAAAAGUAAAGAAAACAAUUAAACCAGGCCAUCAUCCUGUGAAACGGCGCGGGGUUACCAGUGUAACAAAAUGCCACAAGUGCAAUGGAACUGGGAUCAUAUUCAUCGGCAAAGACGAGGAUAAACUAAAUUCUGGGAUCAGUUCACUCGCCAAGUGUGGUGGCUGCAAGGCGACAGGUCGAGUCACCAUUGGAAGUGGAAAGCAAAACAGUCAGAACCAGCCUGAAAAACCUUUCCAUUGUAACGUUUGCGACGGAACGUUUUCCCGAUAUUCGUCUCUGUGGUCCCAUAAGCGACUUCAUUCUGGCGAUAAACCAUUUAAAUGCGAAGUCUGUGGUUUAGCAUUUGCAAAAGCGGCGUACCUGAAAAAUCAUGGUCGUGUUCAUACCGGAGAAAAACCAUUCAAGUGUAGUGUUUGUGGAAUGCAAUUUUCACAAAGUCCACAUUUAAAAAAUCACGAACGAAUUCAUUCCGGUGAACGCCCUUAUCAGUGUGAAGUUUGUGAAAAAACAUUCGCUAGACAUUCAACGCUUUGGAAUCACAGGAGGAUUCAUACUGGUGAAAAACCGUAUCGAUGCAAUAUUUGUGGUUCGGCAUUCAACCAGGCUACUCACCUCAAAAACCACGCUAAAGUUCAUACUGGUGAAAAACCACAUAGGUGUGACAUUUGUGAGAUUGGUUUCUCAGAUCGUUUUGCUCUGAAACGUCAUCGUGCGAUUCAUGAAAAAUAUGGUCAAACAGCAAGGAAUCAGAACAGUAACAGUGCAAACAGUGCGCAGCAAGCCAACACAAGCAAUCAGCAACAACAGCAACAAGCUCAGCAACAAGGUCAACAAUCCCAACAAGUUGUAGUUGUUAAUUCAGCAACGCCGGUGACUGUUAGUCAAGGUCAAGGGCAAGGUCAAAGUCAAAGCCAAGUGAUGAAUACAGAAGACGAGAUGGUAGAUAUUGGUCUACAGACGGCUGAAUUGUGUGACACAAUUUUGAAAACAGAAGACUUUGAUGGUCUUGAAUAAUGAAUAAUUACUGAUUAAUUAUUAGCAGUGAAAAUGUAAAAGUCAGAGAAUACGUAUAGAAGAUCGAUUUACUUUCAACUAUCAAAUCAUGAACAUUUCGAUCUUCUAUCCAUUAUUCAAAGCAAUGAAUGAUAAAUUGGUCUUGUCAUGGUAAGUCGAAUAUUUUUCAAUGUAUAUAAAAUUAACGCCUUUUUAGUGUCUCGGAGUAGGGAAAUAACUUUUUUGACAAUGUAAACACUUUCUUUCUUUCUUGGAACGUUCUUGACGCAGUUAGCGCUUUUUCUUAAUUAUCAUUUUUAUAUAAAAUAAUUCGCAAAACUGAUAGUUCUAACAAACUUUGUCAUUGGCAUAGAUUGUCAUGUAAUCAUAUUGAGUAGGUCAAAUGUCAUCCACGGGGCUUCCACUGAUGUAUUUGAUGAAAAACUAAUUUUAACUGUUAUAGAUAAUAUUUAUAAGAACAGUAUUUGUAAGAUUUACACCUAAAAUAAGUUCGGAUCAAUUAUUUUUCAACCAUUUCCCUGCUGUUCAAACAACGUAAAGAUAACAUAAUUCUUGUAAUUUCUCUAAACAUAUGUUUGUACACAAUUGCACCUUACAACGUUAAUUAAUAUGAAAAAAGACUGCACGUUGAAGGAAUAUUAAAAAUUCAUAACAGAAGUAAUAAAUCUACGUUACGUCAUUACACAGUUUCUUCCAAAUAAAAUUCACCCACGUGAUAUACAAUUGAAGCAAGUUUUUCAUUAAUUUUACAGAAUUGUGUCUGUCAUAAACUUCGUUUUAUUUAUUAAAUUUUUUUCUUGCAUUUAUAUUUCGUGUCUCCAAUUGUAAAUUAUAUUCUUUUUUGUAACAAUUGAAAGGUACUGGAGCUAUAAACGUGAACGAUUUGUACUGUCAUUUUUCAUGCCAUAUUAUUUUUGUGACACAUGUGCAUAAAAUAAAGAUUUCUUGACAAGUGUAAAGUGCCACACAAGCCGAAGGUGAAUACGAACUCAUACGGGUCAAGAAGUCCCUGUAUGCGCACAUGCCACAAAUCCUAUUUUCUAUGCUACCUCCUGUAAAAAACUACAACGUAGUCAAGUUGUUGCCUGCGGCAGCGCAGCAAACAUUUUUAAACCUUCAAUGCUCUUAGUUUUGAUAUUUGUUAAUUUGCAGUUACGUAACAAUUUAAUUCGAGUAAUGUAAAACAAAUACAAUAGCAAAAAGACCCAAUUGAAGAUCCACGUACAUACAAUAUGACAGUCAGAAGUUGUUCUAUAAUCAAAUCAUGUACAUUUUAUCUUUUUUCAGAAUGAAAUAAAAUAUUAAUUCUAAAUAUGUUAUUUCAUGGAAGUUACAAACUGAAUUUGAGUUCUCUACGGAAGGAUAUUAAAACUUUGCUCACCAUCUUCCCACAAUUAAAAAUUUUACAGACACUAAGAACAGGCUAAAUUGAUCUCAGUUUCCCGCAUAUCAUCACAUGUGAAUCAUGAAGCUGCGGAUACUACUUACAGAAGAUUGGAUUUGUGCUCUUGAAAAUUACAAACAAGAUAUUCCAACUACUUGUACCAAGAUCGACUGACAUUUUACCACCAGAAAUCGUCACUGACUUUGAAAAUAGGGUAACGAUGUGACUCAGUGGGGCUCCUUUGUUAAAUAACCAUCUAAUGAAAAUAUUCUAGCAAAUGGCAAUUAAUAUCUACGUAAUAUGCAAUGACGACACAUUAUCCUAAAAAAGAUAUGGGUGUAUAUAUAUAUAUAUAUAUAUAUAUAUACGCAUACAUACACACACAUGUAAAUUCAUGAAAAUUGCAGUAUCAAUAUUAGUUUAUUAAUAACAGACUUUCGUUGCUGUUUAAAAAAAUCUAGAAUAAUUGGGCUCUGACAUAUGGAUUACAAUAGAAUAUAGUUUGUAAUAAUAGUUUGAUAAGUUAGCCUUAUAUUGAUUUUUAUAUUCACAAUUGUUAUAGUUAUGGCAGUGUACUAUGACUUGACUCACAAACAUUCACUAUACGAUUGUCAGAAUUUUAGAAUUAAAGAUGAUCAAUCACCACAUGCGAUGAUGUCAAGUAGCUUUAAUAUCACUAUCCGAAUGAAUAUAUAGUUAAAUGUACAGUCAAAACAUCGAAAAAGUAAGAUAAUUUCUUAGUUUGUACAAGUAUAACUACAUCUAUGACGAAUUUAUAAAACGUCGGAGUAUGUAUUCAAUACCUAUGAUGAUAUUUUUUUUAGAUUUUAACUGGUCGCCUCUAAAAAUGUCAGCCAAAGUUUUCAAAUUCCGACUUGAUUUUUUUAUUCAAAUCAGAUCAACAACAUCUGUAUUUCUCUUCAUCAUGUAUAACUCAACACAAAUGUUGAUGAUAAAAUUUAACAGAAAGGACGGCUAAUUUUGCAUUGUGUUCAUUCACACUAAAAUAUAAAAAAAUAAAUAAAAAAAACAGGUCGAAACUAUCAAUUCUGAAGUGAAGGUCUCAGUGUUUGAAAUAUGAAUGCGGUUUUUUUUUAUCUGCAUGUUCGAAAUGUUGAUGAAAACCGUGGUUACUCGCUUAACAUCGGUCUCUAAUUUUUUUCUGUAGUUAGACACAAUGUUUUUUGGCUUAAGAACAUAGGGUGAAUGUGCUGAUGGUCAGCUACUUCAAAAAGUAGACCCAGUGGAUGGGCACUAUUAAACGAAUGGUUGGCCACAGCUAUUUGAUUACGGAAAUUUAAUACGUGUCAACUCAUUAGCAAAGGAAUUACGUUAUAAAAAUAAAAAUCUAAACUAACAAAACAAUGUACAUGAUUACGUAAAAAAUGUAUGUUUACAAAACUACUCAUAAAAGAUGAUAAGUAUGGAUCACAGAUGUAUAUUACAGUACUGGCAACUCCCUAUGUCAGCCUUGUCAUAAUUGGUCCCCCUUAUUGUCGGCUAGUUCCGCGUUGUAUCGUCGUUUUGACUGUGGUGCGCUGACAGUCAAUUCGCAUGGACGAUAAACAUAAACGUGCAAACAAACGAACAAACAGACUUCGAAGUACAUUGGAUCUUUCAAAUACGAUUAACAGCGUUAUUUUAGUUUUCAUUUCAGGAAAAUCGAUUGUCGACACCUUAUUAGUUUAAAAAAUUAAUAGAAAAGGGCUAAAUACUGUCAGCGCUAUAACAGUAAAAGCCCGUACUAACAGACCAUAAGGAGGUGCGAUAUUGCCGGGAGUUGUCAGUUCUCUACUAAUAUACGUCCGUGGUAUGGAUGAAGUGGAUACAUUUUUAUGGUUACGGAUAAGAAGUGUACACCUAAUGGGAAACCACACUGCCAACUCUUGAAGCUUGAUGGCAGCACCAUCGUUGGUUCAAAAUUCAAAUUCAAGCAUACAAUAUUACGUUAAAAUUUAUUUUCCUUUAUAGAAGAUCUUUUUUCUUCAAUUGGAGAAAAGCACCAUGGCAAAUUAACCUGUUUAAAUUCUUCGAUCGUCCACACAAAAUACUUUUUCAUUUUGUAACACCGGAAUUUCGCGGCAAAGUAGACCAACGAUUGUGCGUCACCUGCAAUCCAGCUUGACAACUGUGGGCCCCCAUUAUAACAGAAGGUGAACUAAAUGGAUGAUAAUCGAUUUCGCAGAAAUCAGUUCUACAGGGUAAAUGUUAUACAGACUCGUUUCUACAGAAAUUUUUCUACAGAAUAUUUUCCUACAGAACGGAAUUCGAGAUCCACAUCAGAAAUAAUCCUACAUGAAUUAUUCUACAUGACAAUUAUUGUACAAAAUUUUUUCUAUAGAACAGUUUUAUAGCUUCACACAUCCAACACAAUAUCUGUUUGACACAACACACACACAUAAAUUCAACACAAAUAAUUUAAAUUAAAUUGAAUCAAAAUGUAUAAAAUCGAUGAUUAAAUGUAUGAUUUUGACAAUUCGAUGAUUACUUUGAAUGUGUACUGUGUCAAUCACAAUUUGUAGAAAAAUGUUGUGUAGAAAAAUUUGCUGUAGAAAAAUACUUUUGUAGAACAAUUCCCCAGUAGAAUAACUCAUGCAGAAUUAUUUCUGAUGUGAAUCAAAUUCCUUUCUGUGGAAAAAUAUUUUUGUCGAAACAAGUCUGUAAAACAUAUUCUGUAGAACAUUUGAUCUGUAAAACUGAUUUCUGUAGUAUUGAACCACAUUCAACUAAAUAAGUGGGCAACCAUUUCUAAUCUAAAGGUGACUACUAGCACAUUCGCCCUACAUACAAUUCUUUUCUAUUUCGUAUCUGCAUUUUGCAUGUGUUUUAACUUUAAUUUAAUGAGGUACAACAAGUUGAUCUUAUUCUAUCAGCAAGAUUUUACAUUCUCUGUCAAGUAUUUUACAUACCCCAUAUACAUAUAAUUAUGAAGCUGAAGAUAGCAGCCAGAGUUAGCAGCCAAACGUAUUAAAUUAUUUGUAAAUAGAAAUAUGCAGUUCCGUUUUAUCCUCAUAAUUCUAUUAAAGUAUUGGGGAUUCAAGAUAUUUCAUAAGAUUUUGAUUUUCUGUCUUAAUCACGUUAUUUGAAUGAACAUUAGAACGUUUGGCUGCUCAUUCUGGCUGCUGGUUUCAAUCUCGUUAUAUGUUUACGUGCAGAGGCAACUGUUAUAUCUGACAAUGAUUUGUAAAUUAAAUAUUAUAGUCAAUUUAGGUGGUCAUAAUGCCUGUUGCAGUAUUUUGGGUUAGAAUAGUGGUUACCUAAACUUUGGUUUUUCUUAAUGCUGUUACGCUUACAUUGGCAUACCGGACAACAAAUUUUUCAAUAAUCUUCAUUAUUAGUUCAAGGUUUAUUGAAGACAGAAUCUUUACAUUCCAGGUUGAGAUGUAUGCUUACAACUAAAAGGACUACAUCUUUCGGUUUGAUGGGCACAAAUUUAAUCUAUCCAUAGCUCCUCUAGUUUUUAUUAUAGUUUCACGGAAUUUCGUGAAUUUUAAUAACUCGGGAUUAUGUAAUUUUUAAUAACAUAUAAAAAUCAUGCCACUUAUGACACCUAUAAAAAUAACGUAUCAGUUCUAUUGGGUAACUUCCAGACCUGGUCCUUCGAUUCUUAAGGAAGUCAAGUUUAAGUCCGUUAAUUAACAAAACCUAAUGCGUUGACUGAAGAUAUGUAAAAAAGUUCUGCCCUGGGCUAAUAUUGCUUCUGGUUGGGUGGGUUGAGGGGUAAAUGUUGCUCUGCAUGUACCGACCCGUCUUGUGGGAUCCCAAUGUUAAAUCGAGAAGACUCCUUAAAUUUUCUCCCGGCUGUUCAUCUCCCCAAAUGAUGUAUUUAACCGUGAAGCAAAGUCUAUAAGGUUAGCAGUCUGUAUGCAUCUUCAGUAAACGUUUGAUGUGGUCAUGUAAUCAUAUAGGUAUAUAGCUCAUGCUAUAACUGUCGUGACUAACAAUAAAGUCAAAACUUGUUUACUGAUUUGUGAAUCCCGGAAGAACAUUAAGAAUAUCUAUUUGCUGAACAAUAAGGCUCCGUAUUGCACAAGUUUCAGCAUGUGAUUGAAAAAUAUAAAAAUAAAUUUUAUCACCCUUGCUUAGACCACCGUGAAAUCCGCUUAUAACACAAAGCUUGAAAAUUCAUUUUCCAACUAUUCCAUUGAACCAGCUUGUUCUUUCGUAAGAGCCAAUCCAACCUAUUCAAGCAUUAAUACAAUUCUUUAUAUGAGUAUAAUGUAUGAGUAUCUUAUAUUUUUGGCUCCGAAACGUCUAUUAAGAAUCAGUAAUAUUUUAUCUAAACUCAUUAAAAGCUAGAAAAUAUCGGAGGUUUAUGCAUCAAACAAGGGAAUUAUCACCAAUUUUAACCAAAAUAAUCUGAGGUUGCAAUUGUGAUAUCUCUAUCUCUACGGUUCUGAACAGUGGUUGCAUAUAUUAAGACUUCAGACUUUUUCUGAAGCUAUGAAUUUUCUUAACUGCACUAUUUUUGUUAUAUACAUACUCUCACGAAAUUUGUCAAGUUUUUAUGAAACGAAAUUUCCAUUGUCGGCUUACUCAAAUUUUGAUGUUAUGAUGGAAAAAAACGUGUGAAAAUAUCCAUUUCAUUUAAAAAUUACUUGAUCCGACCAGGUUGAAAUAAAAAUAUGAACGUACACUUUAUCUACUCUAUGUAAGAAAAUUCAUGAGAGUAUACUUCAAGUUGCAGUUAAUUCUUUAAGUCUCGGUAGAUUAUGAAAUCUUGUUAGUACUGCAACACGUUGAAAUAAAAUGCGUCCAAAAUUCUGGAACAAAAAUUCUAGAAAAUACCAAUAUUUGUGUUCACUGGAUCAUCUUGAAAAUACACCCAGGUACUGUAUCGACAAACACGAGAAUAUUCGUGUUUAUUAACAGUGCGCGUAAGUGGCUCUUUUGCACAAAGUACAGCGAGUUGAUGGAUUCUUGUGUUUCAAUGGCCCUUGUAUUCAGGCCCAGAGUAAAAUACGGUAUUGCGACUUGUACCUAUAUAUUUCUCAUAUGUAUAUCGGCCAGAAAAUGAACUUGUGUAAAUUUUCAUACACUUGCAAUAAAAAAUUCAACUAUGUAUAUAAUAAUGCAGGCCACAGCUAUUUAAUUGACUGUAUUUUGAAGGUAAACCUCCUGUAUUUUUAAUUCCCGAAUUAUUCUGAAUACAAGCUUACCCUGAAAGUGAAUUAACUUCUGAUUCUAGGAUUUCAUUCCAGGAAUUAUUAUUUAAGUUUAGAUGACAGUAUAACCCAAUGUACGAGGUGUGUUCAAAAAGUAAGGUGACUUUAUAUUUUUAUGAAAAAAUAUUUAUUUAUUCAUCAAUAUUUAUGUUGUCCCCUUCAAAGUAAUCCCCCUCAGAUAUAAUACACUUGUGCCAACGCUUUUUCCAAUCCUCAAAGCACUUCUGAUAAGCACUUUCUGGUAUAGCUUUGAGCUCUUCCAGCGAUGCAGUCUUUAUCUCCUCAAUCGUUGCAAAUCUCCGUCCUUUCAUAGGUCUCUUCAGUUUUGGGAACAGGAAAAAGUCGCAUGGGGCCAAAUCCGGUGAAUAUGGUGGCUGAGGCAUGAUUGUGGUGUUGUUUUUGGUCAAAAAACCUCUCACAAGCAACGAUGAGUGAGCAGGUGCAUUAUCGUGAUGCAAAAGCCACGAAUUGUUUUUCCACAAUUCCGGACGUUUCCUUCGUAUUGCUUCUCGCAAACGGCGCAUAACUUCAAGGUGAUACUCUUUAUUGACCGUACGACCUUUUGGUAAGAACUCCUGAUACACUACGCCACGGUAAUCGAAGAAAACAGUGAGCAAAACCUUGACAUUUGAUCGAACUUGGCGUGCUUUUUUCGGUCUUGGCUCUCCUGGGCUCUUCCACUGGGACGAUUGGACUUUGGUUUCGAUGUCAUAACCAUAUACCCAUGAUUCGUCACCAGUUAUGACCCUUUUGAGUAAAUCAGGAUCAUCAUUGACGUCAUUCAACAGCUCUUGAGCGAUGCUCAUGCGACGAUUCUUCUGGUCAAAAUUAAGCAGUUUCGGAACAAACUUCGCUGACACACGUCUCAUACCCAAAACAUCCGAAAAAAUUUCAUGGCACGAGCCAACCGAUAUGCCAACAUCCUCAGCAACUUCUCUGAUAGUGAUUCGACGAUUUUCGAAAACAAUUUUCUUCACUGCUUCAACGUUUUCAUCUGUUGUUGACGUGCUGGGGCGUCCAGAGCGAGGUUCGUCAUUGGCAUCUUCUCGGCCAUCUUGGAAGAGCUUGUACCACUUAUAAACGUUUUUUUUACUAAGAGUAGACUCACCGUAUGCCACUGUCAACAUUUCAAGUGUUUUGGAGCACUUAAUUCUAUUUUUUACACAAAAUUUGAUGCAAAUUCUUUGAUCCAUUUUUCUUGAUAGCAAAAAAUCGCCGAGCACACCAAAAUACGUCUCACCUUUGUAUCUGUCAAAAACAAACUAAACAUGCUAUACACUUGAAACUGUGUACAGAUGUUCGGGACAAAUGUACCAACAUAACAUAAAAAAAAAUCGAAGAUCGAACGGACAUAGCCCGCGAAAUUAGAAAAGUCACCUUACUUUUUGAACACACCUCGUAUAAAUC